rnacentral:rRNA from 1 species
CAGUAGCCGCGGUAAUACAGAGGGUGCAAGCGUUAAUCGGAAUUACUGGGCGUAAAGCGCGCGUAGGUGGUUUGUUAAGUUGGAUGUGAAAUCCCCGGGCUCAACCUGGGAACUGCAUCCAAAACUGGCAAGCUAGAGUAUGGUAGAGGGUAGUGGAAUUUCCUGUGUAGCGGUGAAAUGCGUAGAUAUAGGAAGGGACACCAGUGGCGAAGGCGACCACCUGGACUGAUACUGACACUGAGGUGCGAAAGCGUGGGGAGCAAACAGGAUUAGAUACCCGCGUAGUCCCUGUCUCUUAUAC